GUGUGUUAUGAAAGGAGGGAAGUUUAGCACUCCCCUUGAUAAGGAUGGAACAGGCCCCAGUGGCCUGUACAACAUGCAUGCAGUUAAGGCACUGGUUGGACUUGAUGAUCUUAAAGGUUUU
rnacentral:ncRNA from 1 species